UCCAGGGGUCUAACCCACAGUCCUCGGGGCCACUGCUUCUGAGCCUUGGUGAGAGAGGACACCACAGUGGUGGGGGUGUGGAGGAGAAGGCCACUGCCUUCUGGCAGCUGGGAAGCAGAGAGACAGCAAACAGCAGGGAACCAGGCUCCGGGAUCUCCAGUUCCAACUGGAUUCCCUUCCUCUCAGAUUUCCGUUAUUCCUACAGAAGUGCAGCCGCCUGGGACUAAGCAUUCAGUUGGUGACUCUAUGGGGGACAGCUCACACAAACCAGAACAAACGACCACCAGACUGAAUACCAGUUCUCUCUUGAGGACACUGAGGACCAGAGACCAGCUAACCAGUCAGCUGUCUUCGGUAAGCUUACUCAACACUGCUCCCCACCAGCAGUGCGAAGGACCCGUUAGGACCCCUGUGCUCUUGUCCCUUGAAGAGGAGACAACUGAUCAUCAGCAUGACCCCUGCUCCCCACCAGCAUGCUUCCUGUCCCAGUGUGGUAGGAGACUUAAUGAGGACAGAGGACUCCCUCUCCCUAAUGGGACUUUGGGGGCUUGUAGGUGGCAGGGCUAGGGCUCUGAGCCCUCUGCUUUGACAUGUCCUGCUUGGGUGCGCUGAAGAGAGGAGACACAACUAUAUAUAUAUAUGUAUCCAAGGGGACUAAAUUAUCUUUAGCUGUGUGCAUUCUCAUCAGGAUCUCAAAGGAACCGGAAGAGGGUGGAGGUAAACUUUAUAAAUUCAUUCCUUUUUUUUUUUUAGAUAAGGUCUCAGUAGGUAGCCCUGGCUGGCUUAGAAUUCACUAUGUAAACCAGCAUGGCCUCAGACUCAAGAGAUUCACCUGUCUCUACCUCCAGAGUGCUAGAAGGGCACCACAUGUUUACCUUGAUGGAUUCAUUCUUUAAAAAUAAAACAAAAAACAAACAAACAAAAAUAAAAACAAAAACCUGGUAAAAUGGAAAUAUUAAAUAACCAAUGUAAAUUGAAAAAAAUAAAUUUAAGGGCUGCAAUAUUUAUAAAAAGAAAUAUCAACAUAAUCCAGUGGAAAUUCAGAGGUCCCAAAUGUACUUUAAUAUUUAGGAUACAAAAAAAAAAAAAAAAAAAAAAAGACAUUUAAAACUGUGUGAAGUGGCUGAGGAGAUGGCUCAGUCAGUGAAGCUCUUGCUGGACAAACUUGAGGCUGAGUCCAAAGCCCAGCACCCAGGGCAGCAUGGGCUUCUGAUCCUGGCAGUGGGAGGUGGAGGCAGGAGGAUCCCUGGGGCUUGCUGAUCAGUGAGCCUGGCCACAGGUUCAGUGAGCUUGAUAGUUUUUACUGCCAACUUGACAUAACCUAGGUUGUCUGGGAAGAAGGCACCACAGGUGAAGACUUGCCUAGAUCAGAUUGGCCUAUAGCCUAAUAUGGGUGGCUCUUUCCUGGGUGGGAGGGCCUGAGCUGGGUACGAAGACUAGCUGAUCAUGAGCCAGAGAGCAAGCCAGGAAGCAGAGUUCCCUCAUGGCUCCUGCCCUGACAGGACAGGAUGACACAAACCCUUUUUUCCCCAAGUUGCUUUUGCUAUUGGCAUUUAUCACAGCAGCAGAAUGUAAAGUAGACCAGUAAGUAUAAGGUGAAGAACAACAGAGGGAAAAAAAUCCACCAACCUAAAUAGCACAUACACACACACACACACACACACGCACACGCACACACACAGGGAGUGGGAGGGGUCUGGCAAGUUGGCUCAGUGGGUAAAGUCACUUUUUAUAUGGCCUGAACUUGAUACCAAGGCUCCACGUGGUGAAACAAUAGAGCUGAUUCCCAGAGAUUGUCCUCUGUAUCUCCACUCGAUUGAUUGUGCCACAGCAUGCAUAUGUCAUCUCCCCACCACAAAACAGAUGUAAAUCAUGUAAGAAAAUAAAAUGUUUAAAAUGGGUAGGAACUGAAUAAAUAUGAAAAAUUUCAGAAUUUAAUUUUUCUCCAAGCCACCUAUUAACUUUGAAGUGGGAUAAAGCAUCACACGUGAAAAAUGAUAUUAAAAAGACAAUGGAAUAAAGCAAUCCAGCUGAAGGAGGAAGAUCAGUGUAGGGUCAGCCUGGGCCGUAUAGCAAGGACCUGUCUCAAGGAAACAUUUUUUGUACAUGAAAAAUGUUAUCGUGGGCCCAACAUAGGCCCAUAGUGAAUUGGGAGAAUUCAACA